rnacentral:rRNA from 1 species
CAUAUCAAUAAGCGGAGGAAAAGAAACCAACAGGGAUUGCCCCAGUAACGGCGAGUGAAGCGGCAACAGCUCAAAUUUGAAAUCUGGCCCCCGGGUCCGAGUUGUAAUUUGCAGAGGAUGCUUUUGGCGAGGUGCCUUCCGAGUUCCCUGGAACGGGACGCCACAGAGGGUGAGAGCCCCGUCUGGUCGGACACCGAGCCUCUGUAAAGCUCCUUCGACGAGUCGAGUAGUUUGGGAAUGCUGCUCAAAAUGGGAGGUAUAUGUCUUCUAAAGCUAAAUACUGGCCAGAGACCGAUAGCGCACAAGUAGAGUGAUCGAAAGAUGAAAAGCACUUUGAAAAGAGGGUUAAAAAGUACGUGAAAUUGUUGAAAGGGAAGCGCCUAUGACCAGACUUGGGCCCGGUGAAUCAUCCAGCGUUCUCGCUGGUGCACUUUGCCGGGCACAGGCCAGCAUCAGUUCGGCGCGGGGGAGAAAGGCUCUGGGAAUGUGGCUCCCCCGGGAGUGUUAUAGCCCACCGCGUAAUACCCUGCGCCGGACUGAGGUACGCGCACUGCAAGGAUGCUGGCGUAAUGGUCAUCAGCGACCCGUCUUGAAACACGGACCAAGGAGUCGUCUUCGUAUGCGAGUGUUCGGGUGCCAAACCCCUACGCGUAAUGAAAGUGAACGCAGGUGAGAGCUUCGGCGCAUCAUCGACCGAUCCUGAUGUUCUCGGAUGGAUUUGAGUAAGAGCAUACGGGGCCGGACCCGAAAGAAGGUGAACUAUGCCUGUAUAGGGUGAAGCCAGAGGAAACUCUGGUGGAGGCUCGCAGCGGUUCUGACGUGCGAAUCGAUCGUCAAAUAUGGGCAUGGGGGCGAAAGACUAAUCGAACCUUCUAGUAGCUGGUUU